UAGUAAGUGUUCAAAAUCCCCUUUUAUUGGUUGUUGGCAUCCAGGUGAACCAAUGGCACAAGAGUAAGAUUUAAUCACCAAAAAAAUAAAACAGAGAGUUCCAGUUUCACAAAGUAAAAAAAAAUAAAAAAAAGUGGAUUUUUUAUUUUAUUUAUAUAGUUACAUUUAGUAAAUUACCCAGAAACACUUGAGUCAUACACAGGCAUUACCAAGAACUACAGUGAGGUACUCUAACCUCUCACCUGUGUGAACCAACAGUCAACACACACAUAUCCAUCCACUAACACCACAUCAUUGACCUCUUGGACUAGAUCACAGUGGAUCACAUUUACAUGAUAAUGGAGGAGAUGAAGCACCAGAUUCCAGUUGUGGAGGAGGAGUGAAACCAGGAAGUGAGAUGGUUUUUAUAUCAAUGACCAACAGAUCGUUCUCCAUGAUAAUGGCUGUGCCUUUAGAGAGGGAAAUUAAAAGAAAUUCUUCCAGUCAGAGAGAGGUUAACGUCCGACCGGGAUCGGGGAUCCCGUCAGAGAGGUUAACGUCCGACCGGGAUCGGGGAUCCCGUCAGAGAGGUUAACGUCCGACCGGGAUCGGGGAUCCAGUCAGAGAGGUUAACGUCCGACCGGGAUCGGGGAUCCAGUCAGAGAGGUUAACGUCCCACCAGAUCAGAGCUCUGGACAGCUGUAAGGACACACACUUCCUUCAUGAAAACAACAUUUAACAGGUUAUUUCCUGUCUGGGAGAUCAAAAUCUCCACCAAUGAGCUCACAGCUAGAGGAAGACAUAAUUUCCUCUAGGUUAACAUUGUAAAUUUCCUGUGAUUCAAUAUGAGAUGAGGGACUAAAACCCAUUCCAGAAUCCGCUUCCAGUUUUUACACAACGCUCAGAGACCAGCGGGUCUCUACUUCCAGACAGGCCCGGAUUCAAUACCAUCACUGCUUUUUUUAGACAAUGCGCCAUUUAAAAAAUACAAAUAAAAUGGCGCAUUGUCCAAAAAUCUCCAACCAAUGAGCUCACAGCUAGAUGAUGACAUCAUUUCCUUUAGGUUACACAUUGGAACAUUUUACAUUUCCUGUGAUUCAAUAUUAUGAGAUGAGGGAGUAAAACCCCAUUCCAGAAUCCACUUCCAGUUUUUCCACGGCGCUCAGAGUCCAGCGGGUCUCUACUUCCAGACAGAACCGAUUCUGUAUCAUCACUGCUUUUAUUUCUUCUUCUAAAAGGGUCAUUUCAAAAUAAGCCGACAUAUGCAGCGUUUACCGUAAACAUUGCAUUGUGGGAUUGAAUCCUGGCCAACAAAAUCAGGUCAUGGAUGAUAAAU
rnacentral:lncRNA from 1 species